CCCUGCCUUUUGUACACACCGCCCGUCGCUAGUACCGAUUGAAUGGCUUAGUGAGACCUCCGGAUUGGCAGCUCGUGGAUGGCAACAUCUGCAAGUAGUCGAGAAGCUGGUCAAACUUGGUCAUUUAGAGGAACUAAAAGUCGUAACAAG
rnacentral:rRNA from 1 species